rnacentral:rRNA from 1 species
GAUGAACGCUGGCGGCGUGCCUAAUACAUGCAAGUCGAGCGAAUGGAUUAAGAGCUUGCUCUUAUGAAGUUAGCGGCGGACGGGUGAGUAACACGUGGGUAACCUGCCCAUAAGACUGGGAUAACUCCGGGAAACCGGGGCUAAUACCGGAUAACAUUUUGAACCGCAUGGUUCGAAAUUGAAAGGCGGCUUCGGCUGUCACUUAUGGAUGGAACCGCGUCGCCUUAGCUAGUUGGUGAGGUAACGGCUCACCAAGGCCACGAUGCGUAGCCGACCUGAGAGGGUGAUCGGCCACACUGGGACUGAGCCACGGCCCAGACUCCUACGGGAGGAAGCAGUAGGGAAUCUUCCGCAAUGGACGAAAGUCUGACGGAGCAACGCCGCGUGAGUGAUGAAGGCUUUCGGGUCGUAAAACUCUGUUGUUAGGGAAGAACAAGUGCUAGUUGAAUAAGCUGGCACCUUGACGGUACCUAACCAGAAAGCCACGGCUAACUACGUGCCAGCCGCCGCAGUAA